UUGCUUGAGACGUUGGCAAAACUACUCAAGGAUCUUCAGAACUCAAAUGAGGAAUCAAAAGUUGUCACUAAGGCAUCAGCUAUGAAAGAUAUCAAAAGGCGCAUGGAGAAGGAUGUUAACAAAGUGACAAAGGUUGCACA